UGCGACCGAUCAGGCUGUUGGUGGGGUAACGGCCCACCAAACCUAUAACCGGUACGGGCCCUGAAAGGGGAAGCCCGGAGAUGGGAACUGAGACAAGGUCCCAGGCCCUACGGGGCGCAGCAGGCGCGAAACCUCCGCAAUGCGCGAAAGCGUGACGGGGUUACCCCGAGUGCUGUCCGUUGAGGAUAGCUUUUCCCCAGUGUAAGGAACUGGGGGAAUAAAGGGGGGGCAAGUCUGGUGUCAGCCGCCGCGGUAAUACCAGCCCCCUGAGUGAUAGGGACGACUAUUUAGCCUAAAGCGUCCGUAGCCGGCUUAGCAAGUCUUUCGUUAAAUCUGACGACUUAAUCGCCAGGCCGCGGAAGAUACUGCCAGGCUAGAGGGCGGGAGAGGUUGACGGUAGUCCCGGGGUAGGGGUGAAAUCCUAUAAUCCUGGGAGGACCACCAGUGGCGAAGGCGGUCAACUAGAACGCGCCUGACGGUGAGGGACGGAAGCUGGGGGAGCGAACCGGAUUAGACACCCGGGUAGUCCCAGCUGUAAACGAUGCGGGCUAGGUGUUGGAGCAGCUACGAGCUGCUCCAGUGCCGCAGAGAAGUUGUUAAGCCCGCCGCUUGGGAAGUACGGCCGCAAGGCUGAAACUUAAAGGAAUUGGCGGGGGAGCAC
rnacentral:rRNA from 1 species